CCCACUUUGGAGGCAAGGACCAAAUCAGAGAUGACAGAUUUCUUGUCUACUAAAAAGGGACUAACUUUUGAAAUUGAUAAAAUCAGCAGAAAUUUGUAUGAUUAUUGUACAUGAUUGUGUGUGUGCUUCAUAUGGUACAUAUUGUUAAUACAAUGUAUACAAGGUUAUAAUAAAUGUAUUAUAC
rnacentral:misc_RNA from 1 species